CUGGCCCUGCUGGGCCCGGCUCUCUCUCCCUCCGCUGCCCUGACGCACGAGGGCGCCCGAAGCCCACUUGACCAGAUGCCCUGGGGCCUUCCAGAUCGCAGCCUGGCCCCUGCGGAGCCCCAGUGAGCCAAGAAUUCCACGAAGUGCUGGGUCCAUAAAUAUUUGUGGAAUGGGAGCACCUUGCCAUAAAGACAAAGAAAAGUUCAGGGCAGGUGGGAGAAAAAUGCCAGGAAGAAUAAAGACUACGGGAGAAGAAAUGGAAGGUGUGAACAAUUUUAAUUCCCGAUAAUCCCUCUCCACAGUAUGGAGUGACUGAGUGUGUCUUCCAGAUGAAAAAUCUCUCCAUCCUCAGAACUGAUACCGCUUGUCCACACGUUUUCCUGGACACGUGGACAUCCUUAGGACAGCUGUGUCCUGUAUUUCUGAAUUAAUAUACGUAAAACACUUCGAAAUGUGCCCAUAAAUAACGUGCGCCA